AGCGGCGGACGGGUGAGUAACGCGUGGGUAACCUGCCCUGUACACACGGAUAACAUACCGAAAGGUAUGCUAAUACGAGAUAAUAUACUUUUAUCGCAUGGUAGAAGUAUCAAAGCUUUUGCGGUACAGGAUGGACCCGCGUCUGAUUAGCUAGUUGGUAAGGUAACGGCUUACCAAGGCGACGAUCAGUAGCCGACCUGAGAGGGUGAUCGGCCACAUUGGAACUGAGACACGGUCCAAACUCCUACGGGAGGCAGCAGUGGGGAAUAUUGCACAAUGGGCGAAAGCCUGAUGCAGCAACGCCGCGUGAGCGAUGAAGGCCUUCGGGUCGUAAAGCUCUGUCCUCAAGGAAGAUAAUGACGGUACUUGAGGAGGAAGCCCCGGCUAACUACGUGCCAGCAGCCGCGGUAAUACGUAGGGGGCUAGCGUUAUCCGGAAUUACUGGGCGUAAAGGGUGCGUAGGUGGUUUCUUAAGUCAGAGGUGAAAGGCUACGGCUCAACCGUAGUAAGCCUUUGAGACUGGGAAACUUGAGUGCAGGAGAGGAGAGUAGAAUUCCUAGUGUAGCGAUGAAAUGCGUAGAUAUUAGGAGGAACACCAGUUGCGAAGGCGGCUCUCUGGACUGUAACUGACACUGAGGCACGAAAGCGUGGGGAGCAAACAGGAUUAGAUACCCUGGUAGUCCACGCCGUAAACGAUGAGUACUAGCUGU
rnacentral:rRNA from 1 species